UUUUUUUUUUUUCCUUUUUAAUGUUUCUGUGGAGCUGAGCUGCAGCGUCAGUGGAUCAGAAAGAGGGAGAGACAGAGAAAAAAGUGGGAGAGAGGGAGAGGGGGAGACAGGAGCCUCUGAGCUGCCCAGACUCUGACUCCGAGGUUGUAAUUACAGAGAAUAGAGAUGUCUCCAAAACAAUGCGAGCCAUUCCAGGCUGGGGGAGAGGAGCUUUUGGGAUGGUUGUGCUCUAUUUUUUUUUUGUUCACCCCCUUCUCUUUUUCUGUCUUUUCUGCCCAGAAACCUGGGUUUUUAACGUGGGGAGAGGAUUCUAUUUUAAAUUUCUUUGCGGCAGCUGGUUUCUGUUCACUAUAAAUCGAGCAGACUUUUAAGACUUGCCCUCUGUUUAGAGAAGUAAUAAAACACUUAACUUUCUCGGCUCCUAGUCACACGGUUAUCACACAGGUCUCGGUACCACAGCCCCCAGCACCUAUACAACAACAACAAAAAAAUAUAUACAAAGAAGGGGGGAAGGAGAACAAAAAGAAUAAAAAAUAAAAAUAAUAAUUAAAAAAAAAAAAGAAAAAAAAAAAAAAGAAAAAAAACCACAUCCCCUUAGAAGGAACCUUUCCAGAAACUCCUUCAAACUUUGGGAAGACUGAAGGAAUGGAAAUGCCCUCGCAUAGGUGCAGCUCCCCCCCAGCGGAAGGUCCAACCCCAUCCAGCUGCAGCUACUUUUAAUUUAGUCGCCAAAUUAGAGCGGGCUGGGAGCCCUGCACAGGGUAAGGAACCCACGUCAAGGACUGCAAAGUCCUCGUUCCUCCAUCUCUGCCUUCAGUCCAUUUCUGGGACCUUCGCAACAGUUUAAUCUCUCCUGGACAGUGGAGGUUCUCCAGCUGAGCCUGCCUUGGGAAGACCAGCCUGCAGGGAAGAUGCACCCAUGGAUAAGAAUAUUUACAACCCAUCCCUGGCUCUCCAGAUCCACCCAGUGCCUCUGGCUGGGGCUCACACAGCUCAGCAGAAGGCGGUAAAAAUAAAAUAAACCAAAAAAAAAACCAAAAAAAGAAAUAAUAAUAAAAAAAUAAUACCCCAAAUCAUUGUAUUUGCGCCUCUUUCUUUGAUUCCAGCAAUCUCCGGGCUGGCUGUAGGGAAACGAAAGGCAGCUGAAGAGCUGAAGUUGGGGUUUUUUUGGGGGGGAAAGCGUCUGUAAAUCUGCCCCCUGUGCCCGAGGCUCCGGGCUGGGCAGCUCUAGGUGGGUCCCGGCCGCACUCCCGCAUCAGCCCUAAGAUGGUGCCCACUUCCAACCACCUCUUUUUUUGGUGGGAAACUUUAUUUUUUUCCCCUAGUGACACUCAGGGGAAGCCUGAACGUUAUAGAAGAUGAAUACACGAGCUUUUUUUUUUUUGUCAGUUGUAGUCCCGUUUAUGGUUUUAUUGCUACCAUUGAUUACUUUGCUUUGUUACACAGAGGAAAAAGAGCAUAAAAUCCGGUGGCAUCCGGGUUCCUGUUAUAGCUGGGGAAAAAAAUAUACACACUCCCCCCCAACCCUUCUUUGUCAGCUAAAAUCUUUUAGGGAUACAUAGCGAAAAAGAGGAAUUAAGUCUAUUGAUGGAGAGAAAAGCAAACAAAUACACUCAGUUUGGGAUUUGAGGGUGCACCCACAAACCUUCCUCUCCCCAACCCCCGCACCUUCAGAUUUAAAAUAAAAACGUGGACACGAUGGAGGUUAAAAGAAAAAAACCCAACACACACACACAAGCAACACAACAAACCACACAGAGGAGGCCAGGGUUUCCCUGCCAUAAUUGAAUUUUUAAAUAGCAAGCCACCAGAAUGAUAAAGAUACCUCGCAAUAUUUACAGAUCAGCAGGUAUGUUUUACAUUUAAAGGGCAAUUUAUGGCUCUAGAUUGAAAUUAAAACUAGAUUAGCUGUCUUCAUUUCAAUUAGUUCUAGGUGCCAUCUAGCCAGAGAAGACAGAAUAUAAUCCUCCCCCCCCCCCCCUUUUUCGCCUAACUAAAUAUUUGCAAUAGAAGUUUCCCCAUCAGUUGUAAAUAUCUGCAAACAUAAAUCGCUGCAAACCCAAACACGAGGUUGUGUCCCCAGCCCAGGCUCCCCAUUACAAAUACAAAUCCUCUUUUUUUUUUUGUUCUUUCCCCCCCCUCCUUGUUGUUGUUGUUGAAAACGUAAAUAUCCUCCAGCAUUGAAAAUGAGCAAGGGAAAGGUUUGAGAGGAGAAAUGUCAAACUAGAGGAGAAAUCUAACUUCCAGGCUAACGUGAGUUUGCAAGGUUGGAUGUAGCUUUCCUGGAUGGCUUUUUUUUUUUUCCCUCCCCUCCCAGGACCCACUUUGGGAAGGCUCUGAACCACGUUAUCAAUUCAGAAGUCGCCAUGUUUUCCCCCCUCUCUUUAUGUCAUAUUUUCUCAUCAGGAACACAACCAUUUGAUUCCAUAAUAUUGACCAACGCUACAUGAGAACAAGAAGAGGGGAAGGGGAAAAAAAAAAAAAAAAAAGGAAGAAAAGGAGGGUAAUUUAUGGCUUAAUAUUCUGUGGACAUCUGAGAUUUAUUACUGUGAAUUCUGAGCUAUUUUAUUACAAGAUAUUAAGCAAACAUUUCUUUAAAAAGCACACAACACCCACAACAAGGCACAUCAUGCACAGAGACACAGACGGUGCUGCCAAGCGUCAGCAGAAAA